GCGCAUAACACAUGCAAGUCGAGCGAGGGCUUAUCUCCCGCAAGGGAGGUGAGUUCCUAGCGGCGAACGGGUGAGUACACGUGGGCAACCUUUCCUAUCGCGGGGGAUAACACCGGGAAACCGAUGCUAAUACCGCAUGUCGUCACCGGUCGCAUGGCCGGUGAAGAAAGCAGCAAUGCACGAUGGGGUGGGCCCGCGGCCUAUCAGCUAGUCGGUGGGGUAACGGCCUACCGAGGCGAUGACGGGUAGCUGGUCUGAGAGGACGACCAGCCACACGGGGACUGAGACAUUGGCCCG
rnacentral:rRNA from 1 species